UGAUGACAUCCAGUCUGGGGCUUGUUGUGUUGAGGUUAGUCAGACAUAGGAAUGCAAAUAGUUAAUAGUAAGAGAUAUAAUUUGUAGCUUAGGAAAGAAGUCAGAGUCAAAGACAAUGAUUUGGGUGUUACCCACACACAUAAUAGGAGUUGUUGAAAUUACCUCCAACAUUCAUGUCAGUGAUUCACCACUCUCCAUGAAGAGCUGAACUGGCACAAGUGGCAACGUAUGUUACUGAUGUAAUUGGCACAAAACUGUUUUCUUAUUAUCUCCUUCACUGAAGCCCUAUAGCCAAGGUUGCAACAAGGACAGUGUCAGAGCAGGCUGUAAAAAAUGUGGCUACCCUGGUCACCUGACUUUUGAAUGCCGCAAUUUUCUCCGAGUAGACCCUAAAAGGGACAUAGUUUUGGAUGUCAGCAGUACAAGUAGUGAAGAUAGCGAUGAAGAGAAUGAAGAACUGAAUAAAUUGCAGGCAUUACAGGAAAAAA
rnacentral:lncRNA from 1 species